UUUACACGGUGCCGUUUCAUUAGCAUGUCAUUUAAGACCUAUCUUUUCCUAAAUCUAUUUUCUAAACGCAGCCCCCACUUCACCAAAAUUCAUAGCCCUAAAAAUCAAUUUGUUUGGGCAUAUUCCAGCAGCCACCGAGUACACCACUUCAUCAGGUGGUCGAUGGCACUCUAGCGACAAUCGAUGAUGCCUUUAGGCCCUUCCAACUUCGAUUCUCAGCGAAGAGGACAGAGAUCCAAGGCUGAUUUGCAAGGUACAUUUGACGGCUUUUUAUAGCCAGAUUUACAGAGUAAAUAAAAAAUAAAAUUACAUUUUCUUGCUGUCAAUCGCUGUAAAUUCUGUUAGCUUCUCUCUCGUGCAUUCCUUUGCUGUUUAUUUUCCUUCUCGUAGGUUCCGUUAACGUGGAGGAACGGAGGUGCACGUACGAUGUAGUGAGGCCACUCAUGAAGGCUGCGGCACGAGGCUACUGACUUAGGGUUUCAUUUUCUGUAACUGAAGCUUGGAUUAUUUGGGCUAUUGGGCUGUGUAUUUUGUUGGGUUUAGGUUUUUUUAAUUUGAGCCCGUUAUUUUUGGUUGUUGGGCUAUGUAAGAAAUGGACAUUGGACUUUAUUAUUAUUGUUAUUUUUUAUA